rnacentral:lncRNA from 1 species
GAGUCUAAAAGCCGGUUCUUCUCUCGGGAUUACACGAAACGAGUGGUUUACAAUUCGAAUUUUGAUCUUUAUAGCGCACCGGCAGCUAAAUGGAGAGAUACAGUUGUGUGUUCCAUGGCUCCGGAUCCUCCCAAACCAGAAGAAUUGCCUGCAGUUUUCAGGUACAUGGAAAUGUUACUAUGACUCGUCAUUUUUCUUAAACGGACAUGACAAAAAAUGAUUGUAUUCAAUUUGCAGCGAUAUAAUGCUUGAAUACUCGAAACAAGUAAUGAAUUUGGGGUAUUUGCUCUUUGAAUUACUGUCUGAAGCUCUUGGUCUGAACCCUGAUUACCUAAAAGGCAUAGAUUGUGCUAAGGGACUGGUCAUGUUAUCCCAUUACUAUCCGAUCUGUCCGCAACCAGAACUGACUCUCGGUUCAAGCAAGCAUGCAGACAAUGGCUUCCUCACUAUUCUCCUACAAGACAACGUUGGCGGUCUCCA